AUUAAUAGGCUUUUAAUCAAGUAACAACUUUUUUAAGCAGAUGCUAAAUGUAGUACCAGAGUAAUUGGAUCCUAGUGUACUGACAGGGUCUUGAAUAUGUUAAGAAAAUGCUGUUCAUUUCGAAGAGUUUCAAAACAUUUGAGAGGGAGGAAGGCACUCUUCCACUGACCCUCAGUGUGCAUUUUAGUUUCAUUUUGGGUUGACUCUUCUCUGUUGCUGCCUGAUGCCUCUAGUGUAAGGCGAAGAUCUCCAUGUCUCAUGUCUUUCCUGCUCCCCUUCUCUGCCCUGUUCCACUCAGGGGAAUAGCCCAGCAUCAACUCAGUCCAUGCUUGUUAAUCAACCUCCAUACACCACAUCCAGCAAAGCUCCCUGAGUGACUCACAGUCACCAACCACCCGUGCACUGAUCUUUCCUCUGUGUCCUUCCAGAUUGUCCUGAGGAUGGCCUGGUUUUAAGAGGCUCACCGCCAUGUAAAGAUGAAGAAGAAGAAAAAGAAGAUGAUGAUGAUAAGAAUGAUGCCCACAUAACAGCUUGGAGCGAAAACGACUUGAUGCUGGAGAGUAUAAGUGAUAGAAGUUACGAGGAGACUCAUCCAGGGUGACUUCCAAUAAAACCCCCACCGCCGGCACUUUUCUCAGGACUGGAGAGCUCAGGCAGCCCAGGACGAAUAGUGCAGUCACCGCAGACGGGCAGGGUGGCCACAAGAGACAGGGUCUUGCUUUGUCACCCAGGCUAGAGUGCAGUAGCAUGAUCAUAGCUCACCGCAGCCUCAAACUCCUUGGCUCAAAUGAUCCUCCCACAUCAUUCUUCCACGGAGCUAGGUUUGGCUAUCCGUCCCAAGCGCUGGACCACAAAAAUAUGGAGAUGGACCAAAAUUUGGCGUGCAGGAAAUAAAGGAAUGUGCAUGUGAGGUUCCAGGGCGAGCCUUACUACGGACCAGGCUGUGAAACUGGGAGCUGCCUUGAAAAGACAUUCCUCAAGAUGUUGCCAAAAAAAGUGGUGUUUAUUUCCAUGACUGAAGGGGCUGCUUCCGUCCUCCUGAUCAAGGGGAUGCAGGGGACAUGCUCAGAGGAUCAGCGACCACCUGCCCUAGACCUAUGGAGACAGGAUAGCCGAAGGCCAUCCACACAGUCACUCCGUUUCUGCCCUCCAAGACAACAAGGUCCAAGACAACAAGGUCACACUGGUGUGUCUCAUCAGUGACUUCUCAGGUGCUGUGAUGGUGGCCUGGAAGGCAGACGGCACCCCCAUCACCCAGGGCAUGGAAACUACAAAACCCUCCAAAUAGAACAACAAGUACGCAGGCAGCAGCUACCUGAGCCUGACCAGUGGAGGUCCCACAGAAGCUACAGCUGCCAGGUCACGCAUAAAAGGAGCACUGUGAAGCUGACAGAGACCCCUGCAAGAUGUGCUCAGGCCCCUGACCCUCACCCCAUCCAUAGGGUGCUGGAGCUGCAGGAUCCCAGGGCAGGGGUCUCCUCUCUCAUUCCAAGGCAUCCAGCCCCUCUCCCUGCAUCCAAGUAACCCUCAAUAAAUAUUUUGAAUUAGAAA